GUAGAGAGAAGCUUGCUUCUCUUGAGAGCGGCGGACGGGUGAGUAAUGCCUAGGAAUCUGCCUGGUAGUGGGGGAUAACGUUCGGAAACGGACGCUAAUACCGCAUACGUCCUACGGGAGAAAGCAGGGGACCUUCGGGCCUUGCGCUAUCAGAUGAGCCUAGGUCGGAUUAGCUAGUUGGUGAGGUAAUGGCUCACCAAGGCGACGAUCCGUAACUGGUCUGAGAGGAUGAUCAGUCACACUGGAACUGAGACACGGUCCAGACUCCUACGGGAGGCAGCAGUGGGGAAUAUUGGACAAUGGGCGAAAGCCUGAUCCAGCCAUGCCGCGUGUGUGAAGAAGGUCUUCGGAUUGUAAAGCACUUUAAGUUGGGAGGAAGGGUUGUAGAUUAAUACUCUGCAAUUUUGACGUUACCGACAGAAUAAGCACCGGCUAACUCUGUGCCAGCAGCCGCGGUAAUACAGAGGGUGCAAGCGUUAAUCGGAAUUACUGGGCGUAAAGCGCGCGUAGGUGGUUUGUUAAGUUGGAUGUGAAAUCCCCGGGCUCAACCUGGGAACUGCAUUCAAAACUGACUGACUAGAGUAUGGUAGAGGGUGGUGGAAUUUCCUGUGUAGCGGUGAAAUGCGUAGAUAUAGGAAGGAACACCAGUGGCGAAGGCGACCACCUGGACUAAUACUGACACUGAGGUGCGAAAGCGUGGGGAGCAAACAGGAUUAGAUACCCUGGUAGUCCACGCCGUAAACGAUGUCAACUAGCCGUUGGAAG
rnacentral:rRNA from 1 species